rnacentral:rRNA from 1 species
GAUGAACGCUGGCGGCGUGCCUAAUACAUGCAAGUCGAGCGAACGGACGAGAAGCUUGCUUCUCUGAUGUUAGCGGCGGACGGGUGAGUAACACGUGGAUAACCUACCUAUAAGACUGGGAUAACUUCGGGAAACCGGAGCUAAUACCGGAUAAUAUUUUGAACCGCAUGGUUCAAAAGUGAAAGACGGUCUUGCUGUCACUUAUAGAUGGAUCCGCGCUGCAUUAGCUAGUUGGUAAGGUAACGGCUUACCAAGGCAACGAUGCAUAGCCGACCUGAGAGGGUGAUCGGCCACACUGGAACUGAGACACGGUCCAGACUCCUACGGGAGGCAGCAGUAGGGAAUCUUCCGCAAUGGGCGAAAGCCUGACGGAGCAACGCCGCGUGAGUGAUGAAGGUCUUCGGAUCGUAAAACUCUGUUAUUAGGGAAGAACAUAUGUGUAAGUAACUGUGCACAUCUUGACGGUACCUAAUCAGAAAGCCACGGCUAACUACGUGCCAGCAGCCGCGGUAAUACGUAGGUGGCAAGCGUUAUCCGGAAUUAUUGGGCGUAAAGCGCGCGUAGGCGGUUUUUUAAGUCUGAUGUGAAAGCCCACGGCUCAACCGUGGAGGGUCAUUGGAAACUGGAAAACUUGAGUGCAGAAGAGGAAAGUGGAAUUCCAUGUGUAGCGGUGAAAUGCGCAGAGAUAUGGAGGAACACCAGUGGCGAAGGCGACUUUCUGGUCUGUAACUGACGCUGAUGUGCGAAAGCGUGGGGAUCAAACAGGAUUAGAUACCCUGGUAGUCCACGCCGUAAACGAUGAGUGCUAAGUGUUAGGGGGUUUCCGCCCCUUAGUGCUGCAGCUAACGCAUUAAGCACUCCGCCUGGGGAGUACGACCGCAAGGUUGAAACUCAAAGGAAUUGACGGGGACCCGCACAAGCGGUGGAGCAUGUGGUUUAAUUCGAAGCAACGCGAAGAACCUUACCAAAUCUUGACAUCCUUUGACAACUCUAGAGAUAGAGCUUUCCCCUUCGGGGGACAAAGUGACAGGUGGUGCAUGGUUGUCGUCAGCUCGUGUCGUGAGAUGUUGGGUUAAGUCCCGCAACGAGCGCAACCCUUAAGCUUAGUUGCCAUCAUUAAGUUGGGCACUCUAAGUUGACUGCCGGUGACAAACCGGAGGAAGGUGGGGAUGACGUCAAAUCAUCAUGCCCCUUAUGAUUUGGACUACACACGUGCUACAAUGGACAAUACAAAGGGCAGCGAAACCGCGAGGUCAAGCAAAUCCCAUAAAGUUGUUCUCAGUUCGGAUUGUAGUCUGCAACUCGACUACAUGAAGCUGGAAUCGCUAGUAAUCGUAGAUCAGCAUGCUACGGUGAAUACGUUCCCGGGUCU